GACGAACGCUGGCGGCGUGCUUAACACAUGCAAGUCGAACGCUGAAGCCCUUCGGGGUGGAUGAGUGGCGAACGGGUGAGUAACACGUGAGCAACCUGCCCUUGGCUUGGGGAUAACCUUCGGAAACGGGGGCUAAUACCCGAUGUGACGCAUGCUCGCAUGGGUGUGUGUGGAAAGUUUUUCGGCCAGGGAUGGGCUCGCGGCCUAUCAGCUUGUUGGUGGGGUGAUGGCUCACCAAGGCGACGACGGGUAGCCGGCCUGAGAGGGCGAUCGGCCACACUGGGACUGAGACACGGCCCAGACUCCUACGGGAGGCAGCAGUGGGGAAUAUUGCGCAAUGGGCGAAAGCCUGACGCAGCGACGCCGCGUGAGGGAUGACGGCCUUCGGGUUGUAAACCUCUUUCAGCUCCGACGAAUUCAGACGGUAGGAGCAGAAGAAGCACCGGCUAACUACGUGCCAGCCGCCGCCGUAACAC
rnacentral:rRNA from 1 species